ensembl:lncRNA
GUGUUUUUCUUAAUCAUCAAACCUAUAGUGUGUUCUUGAUUGUGGAAUCUUUGAAACUGUGCCUGUUCAAGGGACCCUCCUCCCUACCCCCAAAAUCAGUGCAUGUAUUAGACUUGGAGCUUAAACUGUGGUGAUAGAUCCUAAUUGUACACAUCUGUAAAGCUGACACACACCUAUAAAGGCUUCCUUGGUGGCUCAGACGGUAAAGCGUCUGCCUACAAUGCGGGAGACCCAGGUUCGAAGAUCCUCUGGAGAAGGAAGUGGCAACCCACUCCAGUACUCUUGCCUGGAAAAUCCCAUGGAUGGAGGACCCUGGUAGGCUACAGUCUAUGGGGUCGCAAAGAGUCGGACGCGACUGAGUGACUUCACAUAAAGCUGGCACCAUUGAUGCAACAUUUUAUGUUCUUGAGUUUUGUAAGGUCUUAGACUUUUUCUGGGGCUUUCCUGGUGGCUAAGAGGUUAAAGCGUCCGCCUGCAAUGCAGAAGACCCAGGUUCAAUCCCUGGGUUGGGAAGAUCCCCUGGAGAAGGAAAUGGCAACCCACUCUAGUAUUCUUUCCUGGAGAAUCCCAUGGAUAGAGGAACCUGGUGGGCUACAGUCCAUGGGGGUGCAGAGUCGGACACGACUGAGGGACUUCACUUCCUUAGACUUUUUCUGAGGCUAAGUGGUUUAGUCCAGGAAACAAAUCUGGUUAUUGCCCGUGAAUCUAAGGAAGGUUGAGAUCUCUAGUGAUAAAUUGGCCUCGUUUUUUUCUCUACUUGGCACACUGUAUGUCCCUCCAAAGUCGAAGUUAAAUCGACUUUGUGCUGCAGUUGCUCUGCCAUCUGGCCAUCCAAAUGAAUGCGGCACGUGCGCUUGAAUGGAAGGAAAGUUCUGUCUGAGUCUGCGGUAGCUCUGUAGGCACACUUGUUGCACAGCACGCUUACUGCAGGGUAGAAAUACAAGAAGCCAGCCCCCUCCUGCAUCUGUGUGAGAGGCCUGUCAGUGCUGGAACAGGAGGAGCUUGUUGAGAGUGGGCUGAGCCGCCGCUUCUGAGCAGGACUCUCUCCCUUUGCUAAAAGGCGUUGACGUAGCAGAUGAGAUGAGCCCAGCUGUCCAUCCCCGUUUGUCAAGCACCUGCUCUAUGAGGCCAGAAGACGAGAAGAUGUGCCCAGACGGAAGGCAGGCCAUGACUAGAGAGCUCAAAGUACUGGUCUCACGUCCAUUGGCCGUCCUGGCACCAAGUGGAAAGUCGGGGGAUGAGAGGACCUUAGCCCAAGCUGGUCAGAUAAUGGCCUUCCUGGGGAGGGGAUAUUUCACCUGGGUCUUGAGAGUUAACCACCCAGUGCCCAAGACAGCAUUUGGCUUCAAACUAGCCUUUAAAAAAAAAAAAAGUUAAUUUCUAAGUGAAAAGGAAGUAGAUAAAUUGGAUGAUAAAUUUGUAAAUAUUUGUGAUAAAGGCAUAAGGAGUACUUGGGGCUUCCCAGGUGGCGCUAGUGGUAAAGAACCUGCCUGCCAGUGCAGGAGACAUAAGAGAAGCCGGUUGGAUCCCUGGGUCUGGAAGAUCCCCUGGAGGAGGUCAUGGCAACCCACCCCAGUAUUCUUGCCUGGAGAAUCCCGUGGACAGAGAAGUCUGGUGGGCUACAGUCCAUGGGGUCGCAAAGAGUCAGACCCAAGUGAAGCGACUUAGCUUGCACUCACAGCACUCAGUGUAAGAGAGCUAUAAUUUUGCCUUGGAAAUUCAUCCAAUUACCAAAUGAAUCCCCCGAAACUGCUAUUGAGAUGCCUGAGGUUUUUCUUAGUACUUCGCUACUGACAUCAUGUCCUACUUUUUUUUUCUUUUUACCAGUUUUCAUGAGCCGUUCCUUAUUCAGAGUUUCCACUUGAACUUAAUAGCAGAAGUGGGUUUGGAGUUCCAGGCCUUGGAAGGCGCACCAGCUACAAAGGUUCCCUUACUACUUACGGCACGUGAAACGUCCCUGGUGGGUCCAUUCACUUCCGACCCUGUACUUCUGCUGGGAUCUUCCGGGGGCAACGCCACUCACGAGUGUAGAUUUCUGCCAUGACUUGCGGUCCCCGGCGUCGCCUGAGCAUUCGAUGCUGCUUGACACUUCUUUUCCCUGGUCCUCACUCUGGCACCCGCACCACCAUUUUGCUCAGCGGAUUCUCGAAAUGACUUUUUUCAAAGCUCAUAAGAAAUCUGCCUGUGUGCUCUCCAUUCCCUCGCCUCCCCACAGUGGCCCAGUGCCAGCGUCCCCUGCUUCAAGGCAGUUGGAGGGAUCCAAGUUCGUUCGCUCAGACACCCAGGGUCCCCUCAUGGCUGCUCCUGGCUGAGCCCGAGUUCCCGUCUCCACCUGCGCUCCCCCUCCUCCCAUCCCGGGGACCUGCCCUGUGCCCUGGGCUCUCUUCCCUUGGCAACGUCUCUCCCUGUCUUUAGAAACAGGGCUCUCUCUUGACCCCAUGUCCCCCAGGAGUCACUGCCCAUCUCCUUGCAGUCCCAGCCAAGCCCUGAGAGCAGGUCUGCGCUGACCGUCUCCGCUCCAUCUGUUGAGCCGCAGGUACCGCAUCAUCACGUGUGGUGGAGCCCGCACGGGUGAGGCCUUUCUGACCUCACUUCUCAUCCUCGUGCUCAUGAGGUUCCCAGACCCCCUCCUCGGCUCUGCCAUCCCAUUCAUCCACCUGGUCCGCCUUCUGGCCUCUGGCUUCCCCUCCUCCUGCCUGCUGCCCCGUGUCCCCCUGAGUCACCCAUCCUCGUGGUCUCGACAGCCGCGGGCGGCUGACGAUUCUCAGCUGCCUGUGGCUCUCCCCAGAGCUCUAGAUCCACAUGCACUGUCUGUCCUCGGGGGUCCCGCGGGGUCCGUCCCUGCACCUGCCCGCUCACCCGUCACACCCACUUGCCCGGGACGGAAACCUGGAAACCAUCUUCGACUCCCUUGGCUCCGUAACCCCCACCGUCAGCCAUCAGGUUCUCCUAAAUCUUUCUCACACCAGCUUUUCUCUUUCCCCGCCAUCCCUGCUGUGCUGCAGGCCCCGUCCCACCGUCUCACCAAAACCUUUGCCAACCAGCUGCGUGACCUGCUCCAGCCCUCCUUUCCCAAGGCUCUCCGGAGGCUUCCUAACCUGCAGGUGGAACCACAUCAUUCCAGUCGAAACUCAAAGUUUGGAGCCGCUCCUCCAGUAGGCAUUUCAAACGCGCAGCCUUGUUUUCCACCCCUCCUGCCUCCCCCAGCUCCAGUGGUUCAGACCUUUGUUUUCAGGCUGGCCAUUCUCUGCCCAGGAGACCCUUUCUCACCGCCUUUGACAUUCCUCCUCUUCCAAAGCAGCUCAGGUGGCAUCUCAAAGAAGCCUUCCCUGGAAGGGCAUUUCGGUAGCAUUCCGCCCAAAUUGCUAUCAUCGUCUUCACGGUGAAAGUGACCUGUUAACCUUCCUGCUUGUCCACCAAGCUGCGCCUUUGAGGGCAGGGGCAGUUUCUCUUCUGCCUCCAGCCUCGGAGUGGACCAGGGCCAGCCCGAUGCAGGACGCGCGGUCGGCCCCAUCGGAGCAGAAACGCCCGGCGCUGCCCCUCCUGGUUUCGUCCUCCACCCCCACCGCCUGUGGAACGCAGAGUGGUUGCAUGCCAUGUACAACUGAAUCACCUUGCUGUACGCCUGGAAACUGCCACCACACUGUUAAUCAGCCAAACUCCAGGACGAAAUAAAAAGUUUUCUAAAAAGUCCCAGCUCCUUAGCUGGGCUAAAAGGGAAAUGUGGCAUAAUAGGGGAAAAAAAAAAAAGAAGUUUCCAUGAGACAGACCCAGAUUUUAAUAGCGGUUCCACUACUUAUCGGUUCAGUGAUCUCGGCAUCAGGGUCCUUUCCAGUGACUCGGCUCUUUGCAUCACGUGGCCAAAGUAUUGGAACUUCACCAUCAGUCCUUCCAAUGAAUAUUCUGGCUUAAUUUCCUUUAGGAUUGACUGGUUUGAUCUCCUUGCAGUCCAAGGGGGACCCUCAAGAAUCUUCUCCAGCACCACAGUUUGAAAGCAUCAGUUUUUUCGGCUCUGAGCCUUCUUUACGGUCCAGCUCUCACAUCCAUACAUGACUACUGGAAAAACCAUAGCUCUUACUGUACAGACCUUUGUUAGCUUACUUGUCCUUGAGAUUUUUUGAGUACUAUGAAUUUCCAUACAUGGAAGCAAG